GUUUGUCCCAGAUCACAAUAAUGAAGCAGAAGAAUAUAUCUACGUGUUUAUUUGGAUGUAGUACAAAAAGGACACAAAGUGCAAAGCAUUAAAAUAUUUAUAUAUAUUCACCUUAUUUUCCAUGGCAACAACGGUGCCGCCAUUGCGUUCGUUUUGUCAUCUUACUUCCGGCUGAGGGACCUGACGUACCUAAGCUAGUGGCUAGAUAACAGAACGCAAAUAUAUCAAGUAUUAUAUGCUCAGUUAGGGGCUGCAUAACAAUUGUAUUAAAAAAACAAUUGCACCAACGAUGUUGCGAACACACUGCGAAGCGGUCGUGGUGCACUUUACAACUGACACCCACCACCUAAAGAAGAGGAGCACCUGAGACAACGGCUGAAGGUGCUGAAUUUGAAGCGCCCACAUGUGUGUUCAUAUCAUUUCAUGGACGGGAAGCCGACUGACGAACACACUUACCCCGAGAAAUGGCUCGGCUACGAUGUUCUGGUAAAGAAGUCACGCCGGGUGCUGAAAAGGUUGUCAGAUUCGGAUGUAUCGAUCAGCGCCAGUGAUGCAGUGGACAACUGUGAGGGUGAUCAGAUCCACAUGCCCCUUGACCUUGCUGAAAGUCACCAGAAGUUACCUGCUGUAAUAGUUAUUUUAAUGAACCUUUACAAUGUCACCUGACAUUACCUGCUGUGAAUAGUUUUUUUUUUUUUUUUUAUCUUAGUUUGAUCAUUUUUUAUCUUUAACCUCUGAUUUGAAGGAAUAAGUCAUGUCAAGUUUGCAGGUUAAUUCCAUCUUGGUUUAUUACAUAUGGAAAUUAAACGGUGAAAUUUUACAGGAUGGUCAGUAGAAAGUGUCUCUUGCUUCCUGAAAACAACAAACACUGAUCAACAAAUCAUAAAUGAUUUUAUACAACUUAUAAUAAAUUAUACAUUUUCUAAAACACAAA